GGAGUUUGGACCGUGUCUCAGUUCCAAUGUGGGGGACCUUCCUCUCAGAACCCCUACUGAUCGUCGGCCAGGUGGGCCGUUACCCCGCCUGCGACCUAAUCAGACGCAUCCCCAUCCCUUAGCGAUGAAUCUUUGCUUCACGUUAGAUGUCCGCUGUGAAGAACAUAGGGUAUUAAUCCGAUUUUCACCGGGCUAUGCCCUACUAAGGGGAAGGUUGGAUACGCGUUACUCACCCGUGCGCCGGUCGCCAUCAGAGUUUGCAAGCAAACUCCAUGCUGCCCCUCGACUUGCAUGUGUUAAGCCUGUAGCUAGCGUUCAUC
rnacentral:rRNA from 1 species